UACGGAGGGUGCAAGCGUUAUCCGGAUUUACUGGGCUUAAAGGGUGCGUAGGUGGGCCUGUAAGUCAGUGGUGAAAUCUCCGGGCUUAACCCGGAAACUGCCAUUGAUACUAUAGGUCUUGAAUUUUCUGGAGGUCAGCGGAAUAUGUCAUGUAGCGGUGAAAUGCUUAGAUAUGACAUAGAACACCGAUUGCGAAGGCAGCUGACUAGAGGAACAUUGACACUGAGGCACGAAAGCGUGGGGAUCAAACAGG
rnacentral:rRNA from 1 species